CAUGCGUGGUCUAGAUGCAGCCGUGAGAGCUCAGUGCGGAGGCGCCGAGAAAGAGCGUCCAGUGCGUGUUCGGGGCGAAAGGCAGCAGCAGGGGCGGAAAUUAUCCGAGAACUAACGGAUGGGUGUUGGACGCAAGAGCUGUCUGAGUUGGAGCAGAGAUGAAGAAAACAUUGCAGGGUUUCAUCCAGAGUACUUUGCAACAUGGAAAGGCCCAACAUAUUGCAAGAUGUUAGAAGGAGAGGAUGUACAAAUGGAAAAUCCAAACACCACAUCAGGAUCUGACAGUGAUGCUGGAUUCCUCAGGAUCUGAAUAUCAACAACCUUUGAUAAUGGAAACAGAAAGCACCAUUCACCGUGGGAAGGAACCGUACACUUAUCUUGUGUGUGGAUGAGGCUUCAGUCCAUCAUCUGGAUUGCCAAAACAUAAUUGGAGUCACACUGGGGAGAAACCAUGUCAAUGUUGGAGCUGUGAGAAAUUAUUCAGUUAGCCCUGUGAGCUGGAAUGUCAUUGAUGCAGUCAUACAGGGUGUCAUCCCAUUUCCCCCCCUCAGUCGAAGCAAAACAUUCAGCGACACAUUAUCAUUUUACCUCCUUUAUCUUUAUUCUGGGCCCUGAAGGGAGAGAGAACAAUCGCCCAUGUUCACAGAGAUGAGUUCACGGUCUUAUCUGAUCUGAGUCAUAUUCAGCUGAAUCUCUUGUUUCACAAAACUCAGAAACUUAACUCUUUCCCUACCUACUUAUACCCUAUACACAUUCUCAAGGGGAGAGGUCAUUCUGCUGCAUUGAAUGUGGUAAAGCAUUUAUUCAUUCAUCCACCUCCUGACACGCCAGCGGGUUCACACUGGAGAGAGGCCACUUACCUGUUCCGUGUGUGGGAAGAGAUAAAUGUUUUUAUCGGUGAUGCUGAGAUAUCGGCAAGUUCACUAUGAUGAGAGACAGUAUCAUUGCUCUGACUGGGGUAAGAGUUUUAAAUGUUCAUUUGGACUGAGGGAGCACUAGCGCAUUCUCAUUGAGUACUUCCCAUUCCAAUGUUCCCACUGCAGCAAGAGAUUCAGGCGAUCAUACAGCAUGUCGAUAAAUCAGCAAGUCCACACUGGGGAGAGGCCUUUCACUUGCUUGGUGUGUGGGAAGGAAUUCUUCCAACAUGCUGAUACACUGGCAGUUGCACACUGGAGAAUGACCUUUCAAAUGCCUAGAUUGCAGGAAGUGCUGUAAAUGUUCUGAGGAUCUAACUCACCAUCAGCCUGUUCACACUGAUGAGAGACCAUUUAGGUUUGGGCGAUUAUCUGAGCUCUCUCUACACCAGUGGGUCCACACACUGGGGAGAGGCUGUUCACCAGCUCCUCGGAUGGGGAGAGAUUUUCUUGUUCGUGCAACCUUUACAGGCACCAGUGUAUUUUCCAAUGACUGCUGGGAUUGGGUUCUGCUGCUAUUGUUAAUCAAAUCCAAGACUGAACCAUGUUGAUACUGACAGUUCCAAUCUGUUUUGAUGAUUUUAAUCAUCUCCAGCCUAGCUCCAGCUGUUAGAAUUCUGGCUAAGUGUCAAAUCUGUCUAAGUCUGUUAAACCUUUCUGCAAUCGCCAAGACAAGGUGGUUCAUUGAAAUAACCUCUCUGUUUCACGACAACCAGCAUGUACACAGCAAGAUCUCACAAACGUCAGUGAGGUAUUCCAGGCAAGGAGAGAGAAACAGACAGACACCCACACUGAUCAAGCAACAGAGAGCAAUAUAAGGAUAUUUGGAUUUCCAACAGGCGUCACUUCAGGCAGGAAUCUCAAGUCAAAUAUUGGAUCAAGAGCUGUCAUUAAUGCCUGAUUCUCAGGAGCUGAACAUCAUCAGCUUUGAACAUGGAAGAAAAAAGCAAUGUUCAAUGUGAAGAGCAACCAUACGUGUGUUCCGUGCUUGCACAAGGCUUCAGCCAAUCAUCUGGCCUGUCGAGACAUAAAUGCAAUCAAAACAGACAGACAACAAUGACAUAUCAUGGUCAUGGAUCUCAGUUUGAGCUAAGCAAGGGCUUAUGCCCGAAAGGUCGAUUCUCCUGUUCCUUUGAUGCUGCCUGACUGGCUGUGCUUUUCCAGCAACACAUUUUUAAGCUCUGAUCGCCAGCAUCUGCAGUCCUCACUUUCUCCUAAGCAAGGGCUGCUCAGCUCCUGAUCCCUGUUUUGGUGCAAAUGUGGACAAAGGAUCUCAAUUUCAAAUGUGAUGGUGACUAUCCUUGAAAUUAAGGACCCAUUUGACCGAGUAUUGUAUCAAGGCAUUGUAGCAAAACUAGAGAUAACAACCAUCUGCGAAUGCUAUUCUCCCCGUAUUAGCAAAUGUUUGCAAAGCUCGAGUCAUCAGACUUGAGUAGAUUAUCACAAGGAGAAUCUAUUCGAGCUUGUACCACAGAUGUGUGGAAGAGGUCUCUCAGUCAAGCUUAGCAAUACUCUGCCAUUUACAGUUCAAAACAGCACAUUUUGUGUCACAACAGUUAUAUGCAAU